UACGUAGGUGGCAAGCGUUGUCCGGAAUUAUUGGGCGUGAAGCGCGCGCAGGCGGUCCUUUAAGUCUGAUGUGAAAGCCCACGGCUCAACCGUGGAGGGUCAUUGGAAACUGGGGGGACUUGAGUACAGAAGAGAAGAGUGGAAUUCCACGUGUAGCGGUGAAAUGCGUAGAGAUGUGGAGGAACACCAGUGGCGAAGGCGAACGUCUUUCGGUCUGUAACUGACGCUGAGGCGCGAAAGCGUGGGGAGCAAACAGG
rnacentral:rRNA from 1 species